GAUGAACGCUGGCGGCGUGCCUAAUACAUGCAAGUCGAGCGAAUGGAUUAAGAGCUUGCUCUUAUGAAGUUAGCGGCGGACGGGUGAGUAACACGUGGGUAACCUGCCCAUAAGACUGGGAUAACUCCGGGAAACCGGGGCUAAUACCGGAUAACAUUUUGAACCGCAUGGCUCGAAAUUGAAAGGCGGCUUCGGCUGUCACUUAUGGAUGGACCCGCGUCGCAUUAGCUAGCUGGUGAGGUAACGGCUCACCAAGGCAACGAUGCGUAGCCGACCUGAGCGGGUGAUCGGCCACACUGGGACUGAGACACGGCCCAGACUCCUACGGGAGGCAGCAGUAGGGAAUCUUCCGCAAUGGACGAUAGUCUGACGGAGCAACGCCGCGUGAGUGAUGAAGGCUGUCGGGUCGUAAAACUCUGUCGUUAGGGAAGAACAAGUGCUAGUUGAAUAAGCUGGCACCUUGACGGUACCUAACCAGAAAGCCACGGCUAACUACGUGCCAGCAGCCGCAGUAA
rnacentral:rRNA from 1 species